rnacentral:rRNA from 1 species
UACGUAGGGUGCAAGCGUUAAUCGGAAUACUGGGCGUAAAGCGUGCGCAGGCGGUUUUGUAAGUCUGACGUGAAAUCCCCCGGGCUCAACCUGGGAAUUGCGUUGGAGACUGCAAGGCUAGAAUCUGGCAGAGGGGGGUAGAAUUCCACGUGUAGCAGUGAAAUGCGUAGAGAUGUGGAGGAACACCGAUGGCGAAGGCAGCCCCCUGGGUCAAGAUUGACGCUCAUGCACGAA